rnacentral:rRNA from 1 species
UACGGAGGGAGCGAGCGUUGUUCGGAAUCACUGGGCGUAAAGCGUACGUAGGCGGUCCUGCAAGUCAGGAGUGAAAGCCCAGGGCUUAACCUUGGAAUUGCUCUUGAAACUGCAAGACUAGAGUCCCGGAGAGGUUGGCGGAAUUCCGAGUGUAGAGGUGAAAUUCGCAGAUAUUCGGAGGAACACCAGUGGCGAAAGCGGCCAACUGGACGGGAACUGACGCUGAGGUACGAAAGCGUGGGGAGCAAACAGGAUUAGAUACCCUGGUAGUCCACGUCGUAAACGAUGUGUGCUAGCUGUCGGAGCCUAUGGUUUCGGUGGCGGACCUAACGGAUUAAGCACACCGCCUGGGGAGUACGGUCGCAAGAUUAAA